rnacentral:rRNA from 1 species
CGGAUUGGCAAGUCCCUUGUGAAAUCGGACGGCUUAACCGUUCGGCGUGCAAGGGAAACUGUUGGUCUUGGGGUUGGCAGGCGCCAAGGGUACUCCGGGGGUAGCGGUGAAAUGCUAUAAUCCCCGGGGGACCGCCAGUGGCGAAAGCGCUUGGCGAGGCCAAACCCGACGGUGAGGGACGAAGGCCAGGGGAGCAAACCGGAUUAGAUACCCGGGUAGUCCUGGCUGUAAAGGAUGUGGGCUAGGUGCCUGUCGUUCCUCGAGAACGUUAGGUGCCGAAGGGAAGCCGUUAAGCUCACCGCCUGGGAA